UCCUCUCCGUGUGUUUAUUUUUCUUGUGUUCACUUCUCUUUAGUUUUUUACUUUGAUUUUUCUCCGGAGCUCCGGUGGUCGGAAAGUUGAUCGGCGUCGGAAAACAAGUAGAAUUAUAAACUUAUAAUCACAAUCGAGGGUCUGUGGAGGUGUGGUUUGAUUCUAGAAAUCCCCGUGCAAAAGAAAUAAGUCGGAUUGAAACUUUUCUGCUGUAGCUGCCUCAUCAGAAAAAAUGAUGGAGGCUCCAAAAUCUGUUGGACUUACAGACUUGAAUCAAAACCUGUCGCAGAACUUUUACUAUAAGCUUGGCGAGGGGUCAAACAUGUCUACGGAAAGUUAUGGGAUGAGCAAUGCUGGAGGUUCUGUUACAAUGUCGGUUGAUAACAGCAGUGUUGGAUCAAAUGAUUCUCACACUCAUAUUUUAAACCACCAGUACAACCACAUCCACAAUAACUAUUCUGUUGCUGCUAGCGUAGUCAGGGGGAGAGUUUCUAGAUUGAGCGAUGAUGCCCUCGCUCAAGCCUUGGUUGAUCCUCAGUUCCCCACCAUUGGGCUUGAGAUUUAUGAUGAGUGGACAAUUGACUUGAGGAGGCUUACCAUUGGACAAGCUUUUGCUCAAGGAUCUUUUGGGAAACUGUAUAAGGGAACUUAUAAUGGUGAAGAUGUUGCCAUCAAGCUUCUGGAGAGGCCAGAAAAUGAUCUUGAGAGGGCUAAUCUUAUGGAGCAACAAUUUCAGCAGGAGGUCAUGAUGUUGGCAAAUUUGAAGCAUCAAAACAUAGUACGAUUUAUUGGUGCAUGCCGUAAACCCAUGGUGUGGUGUAUUGUGACUGAAUAUGCAAGAGGGGGAUCAGUGCGUCAGUUCCUCACAAGGCGGCAAAACCGAGCUGUGCCAUUGAAGUUAGCAAUUAAGCAGGCCUUACAUGUGGCAAGGGGGAUGGAGUAUGUGCAUGGCCUGAAUCUGAUUCACCGGGAUCUGAAAUCGGACAAUCUACUGAUUGCUGCUGACAAGUCAAUCAAAAUUGCAGAUUUCGGUGUUGCUCGAAUUGAGGUGCUGACCGAAGGAAUGACACCAGAAACUGGCACUUACCGCUGGAUGGCUCCGGAGAUG
rnacentral:misc_RNA from 1 species